UGGCGACUCAGACAGGACUUGAACCUGUGACAUAUGGAUUAACAGUCCACCGUUCUACCAACUGAACUACAGAGUC
rnacentral:tRNA from 1 species